rnacentral:rRNA from 1 species
ACAGGUGCUGCAUGGCUGUCGUCAGCUCGUGUCGUGAGAUGUUGGGUUAAGUCCGUAACGAGCGCAACCCUCGUCCUUAGUUACCAGCACGUUAUGGUGGGCACUCUAAGGAGACUGCCGGUGACAAACCGGAGGAAGGUGGGGAUGACGUCAAGUCAUCAUGGCCUUACGGCCUGGGCUACACACGUGCUACAAUGGUCGGUACAAAGGGUUGCCAAGCCGCGAGGUGGAGCUAAUCCCAUAAAACCGAUCGUAGUCCGGAUCGCAGUCUGCAACUCGACUGCGUGAAGUCGGAAUCGCUAGUAAUCGUGAAUCAGAAUGUCACGGUGAAUACGUUCCCGGGCCUU